UGGGGACAACGGGGACAGCGUUGGGUGGGCGGGGGCGCCGGGAGGUGACAAGGUGACACCCCGAAGCCAACGGUGGCCACCAAAAACGUGGGGACGUGGCGGCCGUCAACUCGUGGCCCUCGGGUCCUGAGGUUCUAGGUGACACAAUGGACGAUGUCCCCAUGUCCCCAGGUCCUCAGGUUCUAGGUGACACAAUGGCCGAUGUCCCCAGGUCCCCUGGUCCUGAGGUUCCAGGUGACAUUAUGGCUGAUGUCCCAGGUCCUCGGGUUCUAGAUGACACAAUGGCCGAUGUCCCAUGGUCCUGAGGUUCUAGGUGACACAAUGGCCGAUGUCCCCAGGUCCCAUGGUCCUGAGGUUCUAGGUGACAUUAUGGCUGAUGUCCCAGGUCCUCAGGUUCUAGAUGACACAAUGGCCGAUGUCCCAUGGUCCUGAGGUUCUAGGUGACACAAUGGACGAUGUCACCAUGUCCCAUGGUCCUGAGGUUCUAGAUGACACAAUGGCCGAUGUCACCAUGUCCCCAGGUCCUUGGGUUCUAGAUGACACAAUGGCCGACGUCCCCAGGUCUUGAGGUUCUAGAUGACACAAUGGCCGAUGUUCCAGGAUCCUGAGGUUCUAGGUGACAUGAUGACCAAAGUCCCCGUGUCCCCAGGUCUUGAGGUUCUAGAUGACAUGAUGACCAAUGUCCCCAUGUCCUGAGGUUCUAGAUGACACAAUGGCCGAUGUCCCCAUGUCCUAGGGUCCUGAGGUUCUAGAUGACAUGAUGGCCAACAUCCUCAGGUCCCCAUGUCCUGAGGUUCUAGAUGACACAAUGGCCGAUGUCCCAUGUCCCCAGGUUCUGAGGUUCUAGAUGACAUGAUGACCAAUGUCCUCAGGUCCCCAGGUUCUUGAUGACAUGAUGACCAAUGUCCCAUGUCCCUUGGGUCAUGAGGUUCUAGAUGACACGAUGGCCGAUGACCCCAUGUCCCCAGGUCCUGAGGUUCUAGGUGACUUAAUGGACGAUGUCCCCAGGUCCCCAGGUCCUGAGGUUCUAGAUGACACAAUGGCCAAUG
rnacentral:lncRNA from 1 species